GAUGAACGCUAGCUACAGGCUUAACACAUGCAAGUCGAGGGGCAGCAUGAUUGAAGCUUGCUUCAAUUGAUGGCGACCGGCGCACGGGUGAGUAACACGUAUCCAACCUUCCGUACACUCAGGGAUAGCCUUUCGAAAGAAAGAUUAAUACCUGAUGGUAUCUUAAGCACACAUGUAAUUAAGAUUAAAGAUUUAUCGGUGUACGAUGGGGAUGCGUUCCAUUAGGUAGUAGGCGGGGUAACGGCCCACCUAGCCUACGAUGGAUAGGGGUUCUGAGAGGAAGGUCCCCCACAUUGGAACUGAGACACGGUCCAAACUCCUACGGGAGGCAGCAGUGAGGAAUAUUGGUCAAUGGACGAGAGUCUGAACCAGCCAAGUAGCGUGAAGGAUGAAGGUCCUACGGAUUGUAAACUUCUUUUAUAAGGGAAUAAAACCUCCCACGUGUGGGAGCUUGUAUGUACCUUAUGAAUAAGCAUCGGCUAACUCCGUGCCAGCAGCC
rnacentral:rRNA from 1 species